GACGAGCCUCGCAAACGUUAUUCGGAAUCACUGGGCUUAAAGGGUGCGUAGGCGGUGUGGAAAGUCGGAUGUGAAAUACCUCAGCUUAACUGAGGAACUGCACUCGAUACUUCCAUGCUAGAGUAAGACAGAGGUGAGUGGAACUGAGGGUGGAGCGGUGAAAUGCGUUGAUAUCCUCAGGAACACCGGUGGCGAAGGCGGCGACCUGGUCCGACACUGACGCUGAGGCGCGAAAGCGUGGGGAGCAAACAGG
rnacentral:rRNA from 1 species